rnacentral:piRNA from 1 species
UGUGGCAUAGCUUUAUUUUAUUUUA